AUGGGAAAAGGAAGGAGGAGGGGGCGAAGAAAAUUAAGGGGGCAAGGGAGAGGAGGAAGAAAAGAAGGGAGGUGAUAGAAUGGGAGGAAAAUAAGGUAGAGGAGAGACAAAGGUUGGAAGGGUUGGAGGUGAAGGUGGAAGAGGAUCACAAGGACGGUACGGACCAUGGAAUGCCGUGACGUGUGGGAGUAGGGAAGAUGCUACGGCUUGGGCUUGACCUUUGGGCUGUACGAGGAUUCACGUGAGUACAUAUUAUGGCCAAAAUAGGCCGACCAGACGGUGACAUAUGACGGAACAUGAACGUUUUUUGAUUCGAAUUCAAAUACUCGGGCUGAUCCAGAUAAAAGAAGUCUGAAUAUCUCUCCAUCAAAGGCCAGGAAGACUCUUUGUCUAUAAACAAAGGCCCACAUACAGGGUGUAGAGGAUACACAGCAUUUUUCCUUUCAUACUCUAUUUUUUCUGGUCUUCUCACUUAUUCCUCUUUUGUUCCCAGAGUUCUUUCUAACUUGAGUACCGGAGGAUCUAACCAGAGCAAAUCUAGCAGGCCUUUCUUUCUUCUUUAGUGUACAACGCAGCGAGUAUGCCGUGAACCGCUGUCUCACAGGAGUGCCAACUGACCAAGAGCAUUCCGACUACCCGAUCAAGUUUUGGUGGCAACACAUAAGGUAAAUCUUGAAUACAUAUAUAGAACCAAGGAGCCCAAAUAAUACGUUAUGUCUAGUCUUUUUGGGUGACAUAUUAGAUUGUUACAUACUACUAGAGUAGAGCUGAUCUAUAGCCAAUAUGGACUAAGAGAUACUACAGUCCAUAUGUGACUGAUCAUAAAUUGAUCGUAGUAUUUGUGAUUGGAUUUGAAA
rnacentral:lncRNA from 1 species